rnacentral:rRNA from 1 species
AACGAACGCUGGCGGCAGGCCUAAUACAUGCAAGUCGAACGGAUGUAGCAAUACAUUAGCGGCGCACGGGUGCCUAACGCGUGGGAACAUACCCUUGAGUAAGGAAUAAUGUCUGGAAACGGACACUAAUACCUUAUAAUGACUUCGGUCCAAAGAUUUAUCGCUCAAGGAUUGGCCCGCGUCUGAUUAGCUAGUUGGUGAGGUAACGGCUCACCAAGGCGACGAUCAGUAGCUGGUCUGAGAGGAUGAUCAGCCACACUGGGACUGAGACACGGCCCAGACUCCUACGGGAGGCAGCAGUAAGGAAUAUUGGACAAUGGAGGAAACUCUGAUCCAGCCAUGCCGCGUGAGUGAAGAAGGCCUUAGGGUUGUAAAGCUCUUUCAAUGGUGAAGAUAAUGACGGUACCUGAAGAAUAAGCACCGGCUAACUUCGUGCCAGCCGCCGCGGUAA